ACGCUACGGACUUAAAAUCCGUCGACUUUUAAAAUCGUGAGGGUUCAAGUCC
rnacentral:tRNA from 1 species